AUACGGAGGGUGCAAGCGUUAAUCGGAAUUACUGGGCGUAAAGAGUACGUAGGUGGUUUAUUAAGUCAGAUGUGAAAGCCCCGGGCUCAACCUGGGAACUGCAUUUGAAACUAGUAGACUAGAGUAUGAGAGAGGGGGGUAGAAUUUCUAGUGUAGCGGUGAAAUGCGUAGAUAUUAGAAGGAAUACCAGUGGCGAAGGCGGCCCCCUGGACCAAUACUGACACUGAGGUACGAAAGCGUGGGUAGCGAACAGGAUUAGAAACCCUAGUAGUCC
rnacentral:rRNA from 1 species